rnacentral:rRNA from 1 species
GACGAACGCUGGCGGCGUGCUUAACACAUGCCAGUCGAACGGAAAGGCCCUGCUUUUGUGGGGUGCUCGAGUGGCGAACGGGUGAGUAACACGUGAGUAACCUGCCCUUGACUUUGGGAUAACUUCAGGAAACUGGGGCUAAUACCGGAUAGGAGCUCCUGCUGCACGGUGGGGGUUGGAAAGUUUCGGCGGUUGGGGAUGGACUCGCGGCUUAUCAGCUUGUUGGUGGGGUAGUGGCUUACCAAGGCUUUGACGGGUAGCCGGCCUGAGAGGGUGACCGGCCACAUUGGGAAUGAGAUACGGCCCAGACUCCUACGGGAGGCAGCAGUGGGGAAUAUUGCACAAUGGGCGGAAGCCUGAUGCAGCAACGCCGCGUGCGGGAUGACGGCCUUCGGGUUGUAAACCGCUUUCGCCUGUGACGAAGCGUGAGUGACGGUAAUGGGUAAAGAAGCACCGGCUAACUACGUG